GGGGCUGAUUUGGUUUCGACGGGAAUAGCAGAGCAUAGAUGGCAAGUCGGGUGUCCACGUUAGAGACGCAAAAAAAUAAAUGCAAAUAAAAUUAAAAACGCUGUAGCUAGUUUGUUUGCUCGUCAAGCAGUAGCUUUUGCCUAAUAAUAUAAGGUCAGCACUUCUUUACCAUUCUUGCCUUGGGAUGGUUUAGAGGUUCAUUUUUAGAGGCUAUAGCUAUCUUUUGUCUAGAAGAUAGAAAGAAUUCUUAGACUGGUAUACUUUCUUGGUCGUUAAUUACUUGGAAGGUAUAUGAGAACAAUUAGUUAACUAAACUUGUAGAGGUUUAUGUAGCUCUAUUUUCGGACAGGAGUUCAAUUCUCCUCAGCUCCACCA
rnacentral:tmRNA from 1 species